AAGUCGUAACAAGGUUUCCGUAGGUGAACCUGCGGAAGGAUCAUUAUUGAAUAACUAUGGUGUUGGUUGUUGCUGGCUUCUAGGAGCAUGUGCACACCCGCCAUUCUUAUCUUUCCACCUGUGCACUUUAUGUAGGUCUGGAUAACUCUCGCUCUUGAGCGGACACAGGGAUUGUUGCUUGCAACUCUCCUUGAAUUUCCAGAUCUAUGUAUUUUUACAUACCCCAAUUGAAUGAUGAAGAAUGUAGUCAAUGGGCUUUUAAGCCUAUAAAACAUAAUACAACUUUCAGCAACGGAUCUCUUGGCUCUC
rnacentral:misc_RNA from 1 species